GCACUGCUGAGGAGUCCCACAAUACUAAGACGAAACGGCCGUCCAGUGC
rnacentral:hammerhead_ribozyme from 1 species